rnacentral:misc_RNA from 1 species
AAAAAACAUAAAGCUAAAAUACUGAUAAAGAAAUGGACAUCUGCAAGAACUAUCGAAGUAGCAAAAAAUCUUCAUAUACCUCUCAAAUACAAGUCAAUCAAAAUCUCUCAAGGGUAAAAAGACCAGGAAAGCCAAAAAUAAAUCGGAGUACGAUAUUUUUCGAUAAGAACAUCCAAGCAACUAGAAUUCAGUAUCUACUUAAUCUUCUUCUUAGGCCUCAACUGGUUGCUGUGUCCACACUUCUUCUUGCGGCAGUUGACAGCACGAGGAUGCAACCGCGCAUAGCACUUGCGGCAUAUCAUCUUCUCCUGAUUGUAUUUCCUAGCCAAAGCCAUCAAAGAUGGCUCAAUGAUUCCACCACGAAGCCUCAGCACCAGAUGUAAAGUUGAUUCUUUCUGGAUGUUGUAGUCAGCCAAA